rnacentral:lncRNA from 13 species
UGGAUUCAGUAGAGGAAGAGAGGAGGGAUGGAUUCAGUAGAGAAAGAGAGGAUGGGUGAAUUUAGUAGAGAAAGAAGGAUGGAUGGAUUCAGUAGAGAAAGAGGGUGGAUGAAUUCAGUAGAGAAAGAGAGGAUGGAUGGAUUAGAGAAAGAGAGGAUGGAUGGAUUCAGUAGAGAACGAGAGGAUGGGUUCAGUAGAGGAAGAGAAGAUGGGGUGGAUUCAGUAGAGAAAGAGAGGGUGGAUGGAUUCAGUAGAGAAAGAGAGGAUGGGUGGAUUCAGUAG